rnacentral:rRNA from 1 species
GGGAAUGUGUGGUGCGAAUUUCGUUGCUGCAUACCUGGGCACCGGUUGCUCUGCUGACCCGCUUAUUUUUCUGUUGGCGUUUGUCACGACCGCUGUUGCUGCCAGUCUACACCACCUAAACCGUUACGUGAUUAGUUUUUUACUUUUUGCGUUUCGGGGGCAGGUUUCCCGGUCCGUUUGUAAAAACGGCUGGAUGUUAAAGCCGGGUGGUGUGGUGCUUGUAAACUGUGCAGUACAGUGGUACAGCGGCAGGUUGUGUUGCGCGCUGGGUGCGCUAAAGUCGUUUCUGCGUUGUUGUGGCAUGACCGAUUGUUGCUGUCUCUGAUA